rnacentral:lncRNA from 1 species
UGCAUGUCUGAUAAAGGACUAUUUUUUAAAAUAUACAAAGCACUAUCAAUAAGAAAAUGAACAACCCAAUUUAAAAAUUGGCAAAGGACUUGGACACUUCACCAAAGAAGAUGUACAGAUGGCAAGUAAGCACAGGAAAAUUGCUCCAUAUUUUCAUUUCAUUUAUUUAAUAAUUGAAAAUUAAAGCAGGAGAUACUACUAUUACAACUAUAAGAAUGGCAAAAAUUCAAAACGCUGAGAACUUCAAAUGAUGGCAAAGGUGGGGAGUAACAGAAACUCACAAUAAUUGCUGGUAGGAAUGAAAAAUAUUACAGCCACUUUUGAAGACACUUUGGCAGUCUCUUACAAAAGUAAACAUAUUCUUACUGAUUAUCCAGGAAUCACACUCCUUGAUAUUUACCUAAAUAGGUGGAACAUUUAUGUUUCCACAAAAACUUGCACACAGAUGUUUAUACAAGCUUUAUUCAUAACUGCCAAAACUUAAGAAGCAACCUAGAUGUUGAGUUGGUACAUGUACAAUAAACUGUUCAUUCAGAAAAUGGAGUAUUAUUCAGCACUAAAAAGAAAUAAGCUAUCAAGUCACGAAAAGACAUGGAGGAAAUUUAAAUGCAUAUUACUAAGUGAAAGAAGCCAAUUUGAAAAAAAAUGAUAGCUGCAAGGAGUUAGAGGGAAGAGAGUGAUAGACAGUGCACAGAGGAAUUUUAGCACUGUGGAAAUAUUCUGCAUGAUUCUAUAAUGGGGGUUACAUGUCAUUAAACAUUUGUCAUAACCCAUAGAAUACACAUCACCUGGAGUGUACCAUAAUAUAAACUGUGGACUGCAGGUAAUGAUAUGUUUGUUCUUUUGUAACAUACACAACAUAACAUACACAAGUGUAUCAUUACCUGCAGUCUAUAGUUUAUAUUAUGGUAUACUCCGGGUGUUGUGUAUUUUUAACAUAAGUAACAAGUGUGUAUUAUAUUUGUAACAAGUGCAUCACUCUGGCGUGAACGUUGAUAGUGAGAAAGGCUGGAGGGGAAGGGAGAGGGGAAAUUAGUGAACUGUCUGUACUUUCUGCUUCAUAGUGCAGUGAACCUAUAACUGCUCUAAAAAGUGAAAUCUAUUUUUUAAAAUAUUUUCUAUGUUGCUUCCUCAGAUUUUACUUAGAAAUGAAUAAUAUAAUGGAAUGGAAUAUUGUUAAGCAUAUGUGAUAGAGGAAUUGUGAGAUGAUCAAAGUAAUCUCACUUCUUUAAAAAGACUGUCCUUUCAUUAGAAUUUGUACGUGUAAAUAGUCUUAGUUUUCUUCACAAAAGCAAAAAUAUUAUUAGAUGCUGCAGAUUUUUUAUAUGGAUUGUUUUCUUGUUUCUUUUGUCUAUGUAGAAACAAAACAAGAAUAAAAUAGGUAUGUAUAAUAAAUGUCUAUUGCAUAUUUACAACAAUGUGUGAUAGUUAUAUAUUUUCAUAUUGCUUUAAUUCAUUAAAACCGGCAAUGAAGUAGUAAUUUGUUAGAGUUUAAGAAAAUGGGAAAAAUUGCUCAAUUCAUUAGAAGAGAAAUUUUGUAAAACCUAGAAAUGAAAAUAUAAAAAUAUUAAUAAUCUCUAAAAUAUAAUAUUAAUAUUAUGUAUGUAUACAUGUAGCUCUGAUAUGGUUUGGCUGUGUCCCCACCCAAAUCUCAUCUUGAAUUCUCAGAUGUGGGAUGGACCUGGUGAAAGAGACAGUGUCCCACUUGUUGCUCAGGCUGGAUUACAGUGGCACAAUCAUAGUUCACUGCAGCCUCCAAGUUUUGGCUCAAGGUUCCAGCAUCAGCCCCAAAAGUAGCUGGGAAAACAAGUAUGCA